CUCGCAGUUGGAUCCGCCGGGCUAAAAUUCCGGGGUGGGCGCGCUGCACCCUGGGACAUGUGGUUCUCCGAGGGGCACGGGCGGUUCCUGCGAUCUGGCUUUCCCUGGCGUCUUGCACCAGCCCUCCCUUUGUGGGUUGCAUAGUUCCCAGGAACCUGUCAGCUCUUUAGCCUUUUUCCUGCAAAUGCAUUUCCGUGAGUGCCGGCUAGAUGAGGCUCACAUGGCCUCAGGUCAGUGCUGCACGCCUUAAGGAAUAGUAGUCCCUAAAUGCAUACUCUUUUGGAGUUGUCCUCUGCCCUCACCGAGAUUGCAAAACAUUAAAGGCAAAAAUGAAUCGAGCCUUUGACGGCAGUGUGCUGAGAGUUUUCCUUGUAAUCGCUCAUGUACUCUUGGCAACUUUAAUUGCAGCUGAGCUGCCUUUCUGGAAAGUUUCUUCCUUGAUUUCUAUCACCUUGCAUCAUCUGCUUUCCUCUCAGACGGACCAUUCAGGUAAACAAGCCCUUCCAUGGAGUGAAUGGAAAGAUAAUGCUUCUCUUUACUUCAGUGUCCCUCCUUCUGCCUGAAAAAGCAAUUAUUCUGGAAGCAUGUCCGUGUCAAUUGGAUUACGUUACCUGGGAGGUGGGCUAAAAACAUCAUCUGGCUAAAAUGUUUGCAGAAAUACCAUCAACCCGCUGCCAUUGUGGAUCGUUAGCUUGAGAUCAACCCAAUGACUUUCCACUUGCAAUCCUUUUAUGUUUAUAAAGAUUCCAUAAACACCGUAUUGUGUCAUUUUAAUACUAACAAUUCAACCUCCCCCCCCCAAAAGUAGUAAAAGCCUUUUUUUCCUAAGUUAAAAUUACAAAGUCCCUAUGUCUUUGAAGGAGAUAGUCUCAUAUAGUAUAAAGAUGGUAAAAAAUAAAAGUCUUGAUCAUAGUUCA
rnacentral:lncRNA from 1 species